GACGAACGCUGGCGGCGUGCUUAACACAUGCAAGUCGAACGGGAAGGCCCUGCUUUUGUGGGGUGCUCGAGUGGCGAACGGGUGAGUAACACGUGAGUAACCUGCCCUUGACUUUGGGAUAACUUCAGGAAACUGGGGCUAAUACCGGAUAGGAGCUCCUGCUGCAUGGUGGGGGUUGGAAAGUUUCGGCGGUUGGGGAUGGACUCGCGGCUUAUCAGCUUGUUGGUGGGGUAGUGGCUUACCAAGGCUUUGACGGGUAGCCGGCCUGAGAGGGUGACCGGCCACAUUGGGACUGAGAUACGGCCCAGACUCCUACGGGAGGCAGCAGUGGGGAAUAUUGCACAAUGGGCGGAAGCCUGAUGCAGCAACGCCGCGUGCGGGAUGACGGCCUUCGGGUUGUAAACCGCUUUCGCCUGUGACGAAGCGUGAGUGACGGUAAUGGGUAAAGAAGCACCGGCUAACUAUGUG
rnacentral:rRNA from 1 species